CCCCUUGUAGAAGACAAGGUUGAUAGGCUGGAGGUGGAAGCGCCGUGAGGCGUGCAGCUGACCAGUACUAAUCGGUCGAGGGCUUAUCCUA
rnacentral:rRNA from 1 species